UUGGCCGCCCGGGCCUGCCGUGGGCCGGGUCUCCGCUGCCCAGCGGCAAGUUCUGUGUCCGGAGGAAGCUGGACUUUGGAGACUCCGAAGUGGCAGCCCCCGAGGCCGCAGGGCGCCCGGAGACCAUGGAAGAGCCUCCUGUGCGGGGGCAGGAGGGCGAGGACGACGAGGACGACGAGGACGGCGCUGGGCCCGAGGGGGCGCUGAGGAAGAGCCCGCUGCAGCUGACCGCCGAGGACGUGUACGACAUCUCCUACGUGGUGGGCCGCGAGCUGAUGGCCCUGGGCAGCGACCCCCGGGUGACUCGGCUGCAGUUCAGGAUCGUCCGCGUGCUGGAGAUGCUGGAGACGCUGGUGAGCGAGGGCAGCCUGGCGGCGGAGGAGCUGCGAAUGGAGCGGGACAACCUCCGCAAGGAGGUGGAGGGGCUGCGGAGAGCGGGCCCCGCGGCCGGCCCGGAGGUGAACCUGGGGCCAGACAAGAUGGUGGUGGACCUGACAGACCCCAACCGGCCACGCUUCACUCUGCAGGAGCUCAGGGACGUGCUCCAGGAGCGCAACAGACUCAAGUCGCAGCUGCUGCUGGCCCAGGAGGAGGUGCAGUGCUACAAGAGUGGCCUGAUUCCGGCAAGAGAAGGCCCAGGAGGAAGAAGAGAAAAGGACACUCUGGUUGCCCAGGCCGGCAAUGCCAGCAGAAACAAGGAGGAGAAGACAAUCAUAAGGAAGCUGUUCUCCUUCCGGUCAGGGAAGCAGAUGUAGGUCUGAGGCAGCGGUUCUCAGACUGGAGGAGACACCCCACCAGGAAGACUUGCAGACCCGCUCAGCGCCACGCAGGCCCGCGGCACUUGGACGUGUUUCCCCUCAGCCGGCUGCGGGGACGGAGCAGAACCAUGUGGACCAGACCAAGGGACAGCAAGAGCACAGAAGAGAUGGAGGAGGGGCGGCCGCCUUUGCAGGACCACAUAGCAGGUCCAUCCACAGCACCAGCCCUAGGUCCCCGAGCCCCGCCUCCGGCAGCUGAGCUCCAAGGUGAGGAUGUAACCACACAUGGCUGCGGGCUCCUCGUGAUGCUGCAGGCAGGCAGAGGCGGUUCCCACUCAGACAAGUCUCGGCAGGUGAUGUCUAAGGUGACCCGGCCAAUAACCUCAAAGACAGUGCUGAAACCAGAUGUUUUGCCUGUAAACCGAGGAUGCCGCCCACAGUCCAGAUUGUCCUCCAGUGCCGGGGGCUAAGGGACAACCUGUCACGGCAGAUGGUGGGGCGUGUGAUGGGGAUGGAGACCUUGGCUGGCGGGAGGGACUUCCAGCACAGGUCAGGUGCGCCUGGUGACUCAGAUGCCUCCCGGAAAUCAAGUCCAGGACAUCGGAAACAAGCCAGUCACAGCUCCAACGUGUGCUUGCUGUGUGCUAGGUAUCGUGACUAAGGGUUCAGCACACGUUUCCAUCUUCACAAACACCCCGAACCCUUAUACAAACCACGGAACUGGUGUAGGGGCACAUGGCCCAAAGCAGAAGACUCAGACUGGGGUGUGACCCUUCUGUGAAGGACACAGAAACCCAACCCCGCUCUUUUCUCCCCCCAACCUCGUAAAAAAACACAGGUGACCUCGCCUGGCAAUAAAUAUUUUAAUUUUUGUUUCAUUUUUAUGAUGACAAAUAAUUUUCAAGUUUAUUUCCUUUUUUCUUUAAAUACAAAGCUAAACCACA